rnacentral:rRNA from 1 species
UUGAAUAAGCUGGCACCUUGACGGUACCUAACCAGAAAGCCACGGCUAACUACGUGCCAGCAGCCGCGGUAAUACGUAGGUGGCAAGCGUUAUCCGGAAUUAUUGGGCGUAAAGCGCGCGCAGGUGGUUUCUUAAGUCUGAUGUGAAAGCCCACGGCUCAACCGUGGAGGGUCAUUGGAAACUGGGAGACUUGAGUGCAGAAGAGGAAAG